GUCUGCGCCGCGCUGUGUUUGUUGUGAUUCGGCUGAACAGAGUAUUUUUCUGGCGCCCCAGCUGCUGGAAUAUUUUUUUUUUUUUACAGUGUACCCACUUGCAGACUACUGUGUCUCAGGGAUGCAUCUUACAACAAUUCUCACCUUGGCUCACAAGAGCAGGAUACAACUUAGAGUCCUUUUUGGCAAAGACGAUGCACAUAAAAUGGCUUGUCAGCAUCUUGGAAAUCGGUUACUUUGUUGCUACAAUAAGGGUCCGUUACUCGAGGAAACGCUUCAAAUGCUGUGAAUUCCAGAGCAAGAACAAUGCAACUGCACCAUCUAUUAGUGAAUCAGACAAAAUGUGGGCAUUAAUUGAAUGGACAGAAAUGGAAGCCUCUCUGGACAUUGUAAAGAGAAAAGACAUUCUUCAGUCUGUAGUUCACGGCGGGGAUGUUGUUGAUGUCAGGUAUGAAGAUGAAAGCUCUCCUGCACUUAUUCUCAAGAUGAAUGAAAAUAAGGACAAGAUACUGAAACUUUUAAAUCAGAUGGAGUCAGAGAGAAGGCAAAAAGAGGAGUGCAAGCUGCAAGAGAGCAACAAAAAAGAAAAGAAAACACUCCAUCAUCAAUCCCAGAAGAUGUUUAAAAAAGUGGGGGAAAAAACACAAAAUGACACAGUGUUGCUUAAAAAAAUAGAAGUAAAAAACAAAGAAAAUGACACAUUAAAUGAUCUGAGAAAAGAAUUCAAGGCCUUGAGAGCAGAGAAUCAGCAACUAAAGGCCCUUUUUUAAACUGCAAAAUAUUAUUAACAGAUUUGCGGAGUUGCUGCCUAACAGCAGUGUAAACAAGUAUGCUGUACCAACCUCCCUAAAAAGUGCAGCUUGCAGCGUUGCCCUUCAACCAGCCAACUCUUCACAUCUUAGUUCUUCCGAACUGGACCAUGUGAGAAUACUAUUUUUAGAUUUUCUUUUCACACCAUUUAAAUAAGUCUGUUCAGUUUUUUUGUGUGAUUUAGGAAAACAUAAGUAUUUUGUAAAACACAGAUUAAAAAAAUAUGGCCGAUUCAAUUUAUUAUUUAAUGCAGGGAUGGGACUCGGUCCUAGAGGGCCACUGUCCUCCAGAGUUUAGCUCCAACCCUUAUAAAUCUCAAGCCAAGCCUCCUUUGGACCCCACACAAGUGGAACUUUUUAUCGGUAUAAAAGUGUUGAAGGUAUAUAUGCUCUCAUAACAAAUAACUAAUCUGUAAGAUGAUAAUUUACAGUUCUUAUAACUGCAGUGUCUUAUAUUUCAGCAUUUAUAUAUGUAAUGUAUACUCAUAUUUCUACGCUGCAACUCUGAGUGGUGAAGUACAUAAGAGGUGAGGGCAAAUUCACUACAACAUAUGCAUGUAAUUAUAUUUAUACAUGUUUUAUUAGCUAAGUUAAGGCAAAAAUGUCUCUUUUUCCAGAGUCCAGAGUUAUUGGUUUCUGCAGAAUGAUGGGCCAUGUUCUGUUCAUUUUCUUCACACUUGUCUCAUUUGAUCUUUAAGCUCUUUUGACUAAUAAAUAAUUAAUAAUUAACAUUUUCUGAAGUCAUUUUUAAUUUUUUGUUGGUAUUUAAAUUUGAGACACAUAACAUUGCUUUUUAAAAGUGUUUUGUUAUACAUGAGGCCCUGAAGAUCCCUUCAGCAGUCCAACAGGAUGAGUAUACAUAACAGUUCAUUAGGAUACAUUAGGAAAUGGUCACAAAAAUCUUGUGGGAUCCUGUAGGAAUGUGCAGGUAUGUGGUGUGUAGGUCCUGCAGCAUUUUUCCUGUAGGAUUCCUGCAGGAUUUUUUUUUUUUUUUUGUAAGGGGUUGGUAAGACAAGAGAGCCUUAAAAAACUAUGCAAAACACUACUAAAAGAAGUAAAAGAAAAAAGUAAAGACAGGUAAAGCUUAUUUAGUUUGACUUUACUGUAAUUGCUGAGUUGUGUAAAGACAUUUCUGUUCUUUUAUUCUUUCAAUUUUUUUAUUCUUUUUCAAUUUUUUCAGAUCAAUGCAGAAUUUCUCUGCAUCACAACAGUCCCCCUUCAGUCACGAUUCUUUGUAGAGUUAAGCCCAGAACACACCAGGCCGAUGCCGGCGAAGUAGUGGCGACGAAAUCAGACUGCGGGGUUAGCUCACGUUGGCAGCAUCUGGGUCCAAAGUUGCCCUGACACACCAAACCGACGCUCGACACCCUGACGGCCAAGUAGCACGUCCGUUCUGUCCCUGCAUAUGAAGAAAUGCCUUUCCGUACCAGCAGGUUGCAGUAGCUGAACAGCCAAUCAGAAUGAUCAGAUGGCCGACUGACCGACGAGCUCCAACACCGAUUCAACAUGUCGAAUCGGCCAAAAAAAAGCAGACGAGGACCAACUUCAGCCGACGGUGCGGAACACACUGAGAAAACUUAGUGGGCCGACGAACAAAAACUGCCCGACGGCUUGGUGUGUUCCGGGCAUUAGGGGCAGUUCACACAGAAACUGCCUUUGAGUCUAAAAACGCAAGACACAGCAUUCAGUUACUAUGCAUGCUUAGUAGUUAUGGAAACAAAUUGUUAGUUAUUAGUUGGAGCAACUUUUUAGAGAAUACUGACAUUUUAGUUAUGCUCCUAUUUUUAUUGUUUGACUUUGAUUCAAACAUGCAAUAACAUGACAGGACAUGAAGGACAGAAGAAAAAACAAUGUUGUAUUCUUGUUACACAAAUAUUUCCAAGUUUUCACAUAUUUCGUUCUACCUCUAUCAUAACUAAUUUUAAAAAAAUAAAGAAUUUUUU